UAGAAAGUAAUGUUGGAUGUCAAAUAUAUGAUAAUUCUACUUAUCAAACCGAGAGUAGAACUGAAGAGGAUGUGAAAUGUCCAUUAGUUGUCGAAGUAAGCAAAUAUGAAUUAGCCGGGACUAAGAUCUGGUACUUGUUGGUAGUCUUUUUAGUUUGGUUACAGAUUUACAUAUGUGAGGUCUAAAGAAGUACCAAGUUUAGAAACCCCCCAAUUUAUCUUAAAGGACACAUUAUUAAGCAUUGGAAUGAAUCCGGCAAAUAGAGUGGAACACAUAAAAGAUUCAUAUGCCUAGAUCCCUCCGCUGAGAUGUCCACCGGAUUCCUGGGCCUUGACAAAUGGCUGGCCACCUCUUACAUUUGAAGAGCAGAAGGCCCAGGGCCACUAUUAGUUCAGGAUUAAAGCAUUGUUGUCAUUGUUGUUUAUAGAUCUUACAUAAAACAGCUUUCAGGAGCAUAACUGUAGCCCUUUAACAAACACAUGAUAUCUUUCCAAAGAUUUUUGAUUCUGCUUAAUCUCAUGUGCUAGGUUUACCAACCUUCCUAUAGUGAUUGCUUAAAAUAUAUCCAGAUAACAGCUAAGGUCCUGGAACUGUUGAGUUAUAUAGUGGUUUCAUAUGAGUUGUGUAGAACUUCCAUAGGGGUUUAUAAAGACCUUGGCUAUUAUAUCAAUCCUCUUAGGCUUAGAGUUGUAUGCUCUGAUAUUUUCACAAGAUAUCAAAGCACACAGAUUCUAGGUUCAACUAUAUUUACUCUUUUUAGACGCUCAUGACUUGUACCACCAUUUCUUGGGGGGUGUUUAUCUUAUUUCUGCACGUUUGACUUUAUAACUCUGCUCUAGUUAGAGCUAUUGCAUAGGAGCGGGUUUUUACUCUAUGCACACCCAAAGGGUAGCGGAUCCUGUAUCCCUUGUCAUCAUCAUCAAAAAAAAACAAAACUCUGCUUCGGUUAAAUAUCUGCUUCCAAAGCUUAUUACUGUUUUUUCAUAACUGCAAAUGGACUUUGCAUGAUAAUGGGUUUGCCUAACAAGGGUUGGGUAUCAUCAUGGCUUAGGCAAAAUGGAUCGUGACAAAAGCAUGAUGCAGAAAAUCCAUUUAAAUGUCUUUCAGCAUAUCACCAAAAAGCUCAACUCCCAGUUCCCAAUGACAGAUAGCUGCGGAAAGGCAUAAAUUAGAAAACACAAUAUAUGCUCCCGAUUCACCUUCCCCAUUCACUCAGUUUUGGGGUCAUUAACAUUAUGUAGGAGAGAUGGCUAUACGAAAGAACAUUCCCCUCUGAAUGUAAAUAAAUCCACUGUAUCGGAUAAAGAUACAGCUAGUCUGGUUCAAACGGUAGCCGGUAAGACUUCUCAAACCCGUUAAUGGCUGUCACUUUGCCAAAAAAGUGAAAAUGAUGAAGGUUCAUCCUCCAUAAGAUGGUUACCUCUCUCAUUUACCCAGACUCUUAGACAAAAAAUCAAAAAAUCUCAAAAAAACAAAGACCUAGAAUCUCUUAUGACUCAAACUGUAGAAAAAUUACUUAAACAACAACAAGAAAAAGAUAAACAUAUAAACCCAAGCCCAAUACAAAGUCCAAGACAAGAUUCGGUUUCAAGUCCAAAUAAUUCAGAUGAUUUUUCAGAUUCAAUACAAUUUGCUCAAGACCCAAACGAUGAUGACUCUGGUAUGAGUUUUGAUUCAAUUACAUUACAUAACUUAGACACUUAAAAAAAAAAAUAUAUUAUAUAUAUAUAUUAUAGUAGUUUUGCUUUAAAGAGGAAUGCCUCUUUUGUCAAAUAAUGUGAGUCCCACUUUACUCACUACCACACGUGUGGAAAAACUGUUGAGACGCGUCUUUACUUUAUUUUAAAAUAGAUAGGCACUCUAUAAGGGAUAAGUAUUAACAGACAAUACAUCAGACAAAUGACUAAUAAUAAUGCAAAAAAGAGGGAAUCAUUUCACGUGCGAUGGGGCCCAAUGCGCACCCGGCGGAAAAGAUAAGAUUCUUUUUCAUUUUGAUGUCUGGAGUUUGAAGUCCAGAAGUGUGUAUAUAAGAAGACAUUAUCAGAAGAAGAAAGUAGAGCGAAAAAAUCCACAACCAGCAAAUUCCAAAGACUUCAAAAUCUCUUUCCUCUUCAGAAUUACCUUUUAAAAAAUAAAAAAUAAUAAAAAUAUAUAUAUAUAUAAAUAUUUUCAGUUCUUUGUUUAAAAGUUUGUGUUAAGUCAGUUUGGAAGUUUUUCGGGUUUCCCGAAAGGGAAACUUCACUCUGUUCUAAAGAAUGUAAAUUUGUAACCAGAGACCAACAUGACGUGUGCACAACAAUUUGCUAUAUUGAGGAAUCAUUAGUGUUCAAAACCAAUUUAAAUGGGCAAUUAUAAGUGCAAUGAAAUUUAAUAAAAUAAAUGAAGCAAA